AAAACAAUAAAAUUUUAUCUCCAACAGUUUGCUAAAUGAGGUUGCUAUUUUUAACGACUUGUAUUCCACCCCUCCGCGCGCGCAUCUUUACGCGCGCGUAUCUCACUUCGCAUCGCGAGCUGCAGGCGUCUCACCGUCGGUACUGCUGUCAGGUGUCAGUUGAUGCACAGCACCUUGCCGCCCUUGUGAUGUUGCUGUCGGCUGUCAGGUGAUGCACCACGCCUCGCCGUUGUCAGGUGUGCUGAUGCUGCUGGUGGCCGGCAGUUUCUGCUUUGUUCCUGACGCGGAUGCACUGAUUUUGCUGCCUAUUUAUGAAUGCGGAUGCUCCUUGUUUCCUGUUUC
rnacentral:lncRNA from 1 species